GCCUCGGCCGCGUUCGGCACCGGCCGAACGCGAUGAAAAUCGCGUGUUACGUUCGUGAUAGAAGACCGCAGCGCUCGUAAAAUGCAAUUAUUGUACCUAGGACUCAAUAAUUAAGUUGUGUGAUGGCCGAGAUCAAUGAUUUCUCAGACACGUGAUGUCUGACAGAAACACUUGAUUAAUGAGACAUGUGAUGUUUGACUGAGACACGUGGUUUCGGAAGCCUCGGAAGAGAGUUUUUAAGGUAUAGCCCUCAUUUAAAUUGUUGCAUAUAAUAGGUAAAAUAUAUGAAUGUAGAUGAAGCAAAAAAAGCAAAGCAUAAGCACGGCUCAUGGCACGUGAUUCAUGUAUGUAGAGAAUUUUUUUAAGAAUCUGAAUAAAUGAAGAUAAAGGAUAUAAACAAUUUUAAUAUUACACUUAAACUAAUAAAAACAUAAUUUAUCACAUAUUGUUCAGAUUGAAUUCUAUCAGUUCUAAUAGAAGCGGCAUCUUGUAAUAUUCUGCGAUAGUUUUGAAAGUGUCGAGUUGAGUGCGGAUGUCCUUGACAGGCACCAUCAGGGCAAAGUCUCCGGCGCAGUCGCAUACUGUUGACAGGUUCUCGCGUUUUACCUGUUUAUUAUAAUGAAUAUCAUUGGUAAUGGGAAUGUAAAUAAUGGGAUGCCGAAGGUGUUUCAUAAAAAAUAAAAGUCUGAACAAUACAAAUGUAAAAAGUUAUAAUGUCCUUUAGAUGAACCUGCACAUUUAGUCAUUGUGCCACAACUAUGAUCCAAUAUGGAUAAGGUUCCUUUAAUGGAUGCAGAGUUCCGAAAUAGUGUAAAAACGUGACCUAAACACUCAGAUUUCAGGAGCGGCGGAUUCAGAAAGAUGACAACCCGACCGUGAUUACUCCCGGGGGAAUUUCGGGAAAUCUAUGUUAAGCCCUUUGGCAACAAUUUCAAAUCGCUAGCUAGAUAUCACUCGGGAAGGGAUUUUGAUGUAUUCAUGUUGUAGCCUUUAAAUGUUUUGUGUUUGAUAUAAAAUAGUACGCAUAAAGAUCGAUAAAUGAUGAUUUCUGAUGCGUACCUGAUGGCACCUGCUGCAGAUGAGGUCCUGUAGCGUGUAGGUCAUCGCGCGCCGGUUCAUGAUCUCAAUCAGUCUCCAUUCUAACUCCUGAUUGUCGUAUGGUGUGUCGCAUGUUGGACAGACACACACUGGCCUAAAGAGGACAAACAUAUGAGUAACAUAAAUCAUUCAAAUAAUAAUCUACCUACAUAUUACAUAUAUGUAAACGUCCAACAUACAUUAUAGGUACUAUAUUCAUACUAAAAAUCAACAAAGAAUUUUCAGUGGUUUGGCAUUUUCACUGACACUUUCGCAUUUAUCAGGAUGUCAUUGACUCCUAAUGACUAAAAAUUAUGGUUAACACAACACAGUUUUCUUACGUUACCAAGAAUGUAUUUUUUUUUUAUAAAAUUAAGAAGCUUUCUUUAGAAAAAUUGGGCAAAAGUGAAUGCACGACUCUUUAAGAGCGUUCGAAGUUGCACAGAUUUUAGGUCAACUUACACGCCGCGCAGUUCCCGGUGCGGGUCGCGACACAGGUCGAGGUCGCGGCAGUGGUUGCACACCUUGCAGAUGAGCUCGCUGAGGACGCAGCUGGUGCACGGGGACCGCCAUUCCGCGAGGCUGCUGAACUCGCCCACGCCGAUUAGACGGAGCAAGUUCCGGCGGAGCAGCGUCACCUGGGGGCGCGAACAGCUUGCAGACGGCGUUGACGAGCAGCAGCGCGGGGGUGGAGCCCUGGCUCACGGCGUCGGCGCGGAGCCCGGGCGCCGCGGGGAUGUCGCCGGGCUUCAGCUCCGGGUGACGGCUGUUUAUUUUCUCUAC